GUGUGGACAUUCCCACUUCUCUACAGAAGAAUCAAAAAUAAAAAGGAACUGAACCUUCCAAUUGUGCAUCGAAGAUGGAGCCCCCUUUAUCAAUGUAGAGACUCCUCUCAGUGGAUAGACGUACCAUCAAUCUCUGGUAUACCUCUUCAUGAUAUAGAAGGAUCGAAAAAGAGAUAGAAAAGCUUGGACUUUGACUCUAGAGCAAAGAACCAAAAAAUUGAUGAUAAAAUAAAAGGAGUUUCGAAUAAUAG
rnacentral:lncRNA from 1 species